UACGUAGGGGGCAAGCGUUGUCCGGAUUUAUUGGGCGUAAAGAGCUUGUAGGCGGUUUGUCGCGUCUGCUGUGAAAUUUCGGGGCUCAACCCCGAACUUGCAGUGGGUACGGGCAGACUAGAGUGUGGUAGGGGAGACUGGAAUUCCUGGUGUAGCGGUGAAAUGCGCAGAUAUCAGGAGGAACACCGAUGGCGAAGGCGGAUCUCUGGGCCAUUACUGACGCUGGAGGAGCGAAAGCGUGGGGAGCGAACAGG
rnacentral:rRNA from 1 species